AACGAACGCUGGCGGCAGGCUUAACACAUGCCAGUCGAGCGCCCCGCAAGGGGAGCGGCAGACGGGUGAGUAACGCGUGGGAACGUACCUUUUGGUUCGGAACAACUCCGGGAAACUGGAGCUAAUACCGGAUAAGCCCUAACGGGGAAAGAUUUAUCGCCGAAAGAUCGGCCCGCGUCUGAUUAGCUAGUUGGUGAGGUAACGGCUCACCAAGGCGACGAUCAGUAGCUGGUCUGAGAGGAUGAUCAGCCACACUGGGACUGAGACACGGCCCAGACUCCUACGGGAGGCAGCAGUGGGGAAUAUUGGACAAUGGGCGCAAGCCUGAUCCAGCCAUGCCGCGUGAGUGAUGAAGGCCUUAGGGUUGUAAAGCUCUUUUGUCCGGGAAGAUAAUGACUGUACCGGAAGAAUAAGCCCCGGCUAAUUUCGUG
rnacentral:rRNA from 1 species